rnacentral:rRNA from 12 species
UUAAGCGACUAAGCGUACACGGUGGAUGCCCUGGCAGUCAGAGGCGAUGAAGGACGUGCUAAUCUGCGAAAAGCGUCGGUAAGGUGAUAUGAACCGUUAUAACCGGCGAUGUCCGAAUGGGGAAACCCAGUGCAAUUCGUUGCACUAUCGUUAACUGAAUACAUAGGUUAACGAGGCGAACCGGGGGAACUGAAACAUCUAAGUACCCCGAGGAAAAGAAAUCAACCGAGAUUCCCCCAGUAGCGGCGAGCGAACGGGGAGCAGCCCAGAGUCUGAAUCAGCUUGUGUGUUAGUGGAACGGUCUGGAAAGUCCGACGGUACAGGGUGAUAGUCCCGUACACCAAAAUGCACAGGCUGUGAACUCGAAGAGUAGGGCGGGACACGUGGUAUCCUGUCUGAAUAUGGGGGGACCAUCCUCCAAGGCUAAAUACUCCUGACUGACCGAUAGUGAACCAGUACCGUGAGGGAAAGGCGAAAAGAACCCCGGCGAGGGGAGUGAAAAAGAACCUGAAACCGUGUACGUACAAGCAGUGGGAGCACCUUCGGGUGUGACUGCGUACCUUUUGUAUAAUGGGUCAGCGACUUAUAUUCUGUAGCAAGGUUAACCGUAUAGGGGAGCCGCAGGGAAACCGAGUCUUAACUGGGCGUUAAGUUGCAGGGUAUAGACCCGAAACCCGGUGAUCUAGCCAUGGGCAGGUUGAAGGUUGGGUAACACUAACUGGAGGACCGAACCGACUAAUGUUGAAAAAUUAGCGGAUGACUUGUGGCUGGGGGUGAAAGGCCAAUCAAACCGGGAGAUAGCUGGUUCUCCCCGAAAGCUAUUUAGGUAGCGCCUCGUGAACUCAUCUUCGGGGGUAGAGCACUGUUUCGGCUAGGGGGUCAUCCCGACUUACCAACCCGAUGCAAACUACGAAUACCGAAGAAUGUUAUCACGGGAGACACACGGCGGGUGCUAACGUCCGUCGUGAAGAGGGAAACAACCCAGACCGCCAGCUAAGGUCCCAAAGUCAUGGUUAAGUGGGAAACGAUGUGGGAAGGCACAGACAGCCAGGAUGUUGGCUUAGAAGCAGCCAUCAUUUAAAGAAAGCGUAAUAGCUCACUGGUCGAGUCGGCCUGCGCGGAAGAUGUAACGGGGCUAAACCAUGCACCGAAGCUGCGGCAGCGACACUAUGUGUUGUUGGGUAGGGGAGCGUUCUGUAAGCCUGCGAAGGUGUGCUGUGAGGCAUGCUGGAGGUAUCAGAAGUGCGAAUGCUGACAUAAGUAACGAUAAAGCGGGUGAAAAGCCCGCUCGCCGGAAGACCAAGGGUUCCUGUCCAACGUUAAUCGGGGCAGGGUGAGUCGACCCCUAAGGCGAGGCCGAAAGGCGUAGUCGAUGGGAAACAGGUUAAUAUUCCUGUACUUGGUGUUACUGCGAAGGGGGGACGGAGAAGGCUAUGUUAGCCGGGCGACGGUUGUCCCGGUUUAAGCAUGUAGGCUGGUUAUCCAGGCAAAUCCGGAUAAUCAAGGCUGAGGUGUGAUGACGAGGCACUACGGUGCUGAAGUAACAAAUGCCCUGCUUCCAGGAAAAGCCUCUAAGCAUCAGGUAACAUCAAAUCGUACCCCAAACCGACACAGGUGGUCAGGUAGAGAAUACCAAGGCGCUUGAGAGAACUCGGGUGAAGGAACUAGGCAAAAUGGUGCCGUAACUUCGGGAGAAGGCACGCUGGUGUGUAGGUGAAGUCCCUGCGGAUGGAGCUGAGACCAGUCGAAGAUACCAGCUGGCUGCAACUGUUUAUUAAAAACACAGCACUGUGCAAACACGAAAGUGGACGUAUACGGUGUGACGCCUGCCCGGUGCCGGAAGGUUAAUUGAUGGGGUUAUCCGUAAGGAGAAGCUCUUGAUCGAAGCCCCGGUAAACGGCGGCCGUAACUAUAACGGUCCUAAGGUAGCGAAAUUCCUUGUCGGGUAAGUUCCGACCUGCACGAAUGGCGUAAUGAUGGCCAGGCUGUCUCCACCCGAGACUCAGUGAAAUUGAACUCGCUGUGAAGAUGCAGUGUACCCGCGGCAAGACGGAAAGACCCCGUGAACCUUUACUAUAGCUUGACACUGAACAUUGAGCCUUGAUGUGUAGGAUAGGUGGGAGGCUUUGAAGCGUGGACGCCAGUCUGCGUGGAGCCAACCUUGAAAUACCACCCUUUAAUGUUUGAUGUUCUAACGUUGGCCCCUGACCGGGGUUGCGGACAGUGUCUGGUGGGUAGUUUGACUGGGGCGGUCUCCUCCCAAAGCGUAACGGAGGAGCACGAAGGUUAGCUAAUCCUGGUCGGACAUCAGGAGGUUAGUGCAAUGGCAUAAGCUAGCUUGACUGCGAGCGUGACGGCGCGAGCAGGUGCGAAAGCAGGUCAUAGUGAUCCGGUGGUUCUGAAUGGAAGGGCCAUCGCUCAACGGAUAAAAGGUACUCCGGGGAUAACAGGCUGAUACCGCCCAAGAGUUCAUAUCGACGGCGGUGUUUGGCACCUCGAUGUCGGCUCAUCACAUCCUGGGGCUGAAGUAGGUCCCAAGGGUAUGGCUGUUCGCCAUUUAAAGUGGUACGCGAGCUGGGUUUAGAACGUCGUGAGACAGUUCGGUCCCUAUCUGCCGUGGGCGCUGGAGAAUUGAGGGGGGCUGCUCCUAGUACGAGAGGACCGGAGUGGACGCAUCACUGGUGUUCGGGUUGUCAUGCCAAUGGCACUGCCCGGUAGCUAAAUGCGGAAGAGAUAAGUGCUGAAAGCAUCUAAGCACGAAACUUGCCCCGAGAUGAGUUCUCCCUGAGACUUUAAGUCUCCUGAAGGAACGUUAAAGACGAUGACGUUGAUAGGCCGGGUGUGUAAGCGCAGCGAUGCGUUGAGCUAACCGGUACUAAUGAACCGUGAGGCUUAACCUU